UUGGAAUGUGGCAGCAACAGUGCUGGCGUCGUCAGGAGGUGACGGCUGUGUGAGACUGGAGAGCUAAUUAUAUGGACAAUUGGAAGUGCACUGGUAUUCUGAAAGGUAAUGGUAGCCCAGUCAAUGGGAGUUCUCAGCAGGGAAACUCAAAUCUGUCCCUAGGUUCAAAUAUUCCAAAUCUUCAAAAUUCAUUAAAUGGAUCUUCUUCUGGCAGGUAGGCUGUUUUGUGGGAAAACUAGAAAUUGUCUUCUUUUUAAAUCAUUCUGGUAGCAAUACUGAUGGCGGUUUAUUUCGUGAAUUAUAAGAUAGAAUGAAGAAAUUCACAUGUAAUUAUGACACUAGAAUUUAAAAAUUCACUUCAUUAGCUCUGUAUUUGGCUUACUUGGUCCUAAUAUUUACAGGUAGGUUGUGAGGUCAUUAAGCUAAAUUAUAUUCUGAGGUUUAGUGGUCUAUUAGUAGAAAUGUUUAUAGCUUUGUUUAAGAUUUUACUUUGCUUCUGCAGUGAUGAGAGGAAGAAGAAAUAUGGCUUAAUUGUGAGGGUUUUAGUCCUAGGUGAGCAUUAGGUUUUUUUUAGUGCUUAUAGUGUGGCCUUUGCAUCAGGUCAAACUGAAAUUUUAAAUAAAAUACAUUAAUUAAGGUUUUGUAGAAGAGAGUGAGUUAAAUGAUUUGGCUUUUCUGUUUAAAACUUUAAUGGAGAUUAUAAGAGGAGAUGACAUCUCUUGAUUUUCAGAAUAUUUAGCGUAAGUUAGAUUCUUGUUUAUCAUAAUAAAGAAUAUUUGGUAUGAUUGAAAGAGUCAUCCUUUUGUUUUCAUACCCAAAUUUCAAAUAUGUGGAUUUGUAAGAAAAAAUUAUUUUAAUAUGCUUUUGUGAAUAAUUUGGAAAAUAAUUCAGGAAGCUUCAAAACACAGCCUUAAACUGUUCUGUGGUUGUCCUGUUGUCAUCCUAAAUAAAAGAAAAUUGUAUUUAAAAUUUC